AUACGGAGGAUCCUAGUGUUAUCCGGAUUUAUUGGGUUUAAAGGGUGCGCAGGCGGCCAUUUAAGUCAGCGGUUAAAUCGUGGGGCUCAACCCCAUUCUGCCGUUGAUACUGGGUGGCUUGAUUGCGGUCGAGGUUGGCGGAAUUCGUUGUGUAGCGGUGAAAUGCAUAGAUAUGACGAAGAACACCGAUUGCGUAGGCAGCUGACCAGACCGCAAAUGACGCUCAUGCACGAAAGUGCGGGGAUCGAACAGGAUUAGAUACCCUGGUAGUCCGCACAGUAAACGAUGAAUACUUGUUUUCGGCGAUAUAAUGUCGGAGGCAAAGCGAAAGCGAUAAGUAUUCCACCUGGGGAGUACGCCGGCAACGGUGAAACUCAAAGGAAUUGGCGGGG
rnacentral:rRNA from 1 species